rnacentral:rRNA from 1 species
UGGGGAAUAUUGCACAAUGGGCGCAAGCCUGAUGCAGCCAUGCCGCGUGUGUGAAGAAGGCCUUCGGGUUGUAAAGCACUUUCAGCGAGGAGGAAGGGUUCAGUGUUAAUAGCACUGUUCAUUGACGUUACUCGCAGAAGAAGCACCGGCUAACUCCGUGCCAGCAGCCGCGGUAAUACGGAGGGUGCAAGCGUUAAUCGGAAUUACUGGGCGUAAAGCGCACGCAGGCGGUUUGUUAAGUCAGAUGUGAAAUCCCCGCGCUUAACGUGGGAACUGCAUUUGAAACUGGC